GGCAGUGUGGUGCAGUGGUUUGAGCAAUGGAUUACAGCUCUGGAGACCAGAGUUCAAAUCCAAGCUUGGCCA